UAUUGCACAAUGGGGGAAACCCUGAUGCAGCGACGCCGCGUGAAGGAAGAAGUAUCUCGGUAUGUAAACUUCUAUCAGCAGGGAAGAAAACAGACGGUACCUGACUAAGAAGCCCCGGCUAACUACGUUCCAGCAGCCGCGGUAAUACGUAGGGGGCAAGCGUUAUCCGGAUUUACUGGGUGUAAAGGGGGCGCAGACGGCCAUGGCAAGCCCGGUGUGAAAGGCAGGGGCAUAACCCCUGGACUGCACUGGGAACUGUCAGGCUGGAGUGCCGGAGGGGUAAGCGGAAUUCCUGGUGUAGCGGUGAAAUGCGUAGAUAUCAGGAGGAACACCGGCGGCGAAGGCGGCUUACUGGACGGCAACUGACGUUGAGGCCCGAAAGCGUGGGGAGCG
rnacentral:rRNA from 1 species